rnacentral:rRNA from 1 species
CACGUAGGCGGUUCGUUAAGUCGGAUGUGAAAGCCCCGGGCUCAACCUGGGAAUUGCAUUCGAUACUGGCAAACUAGAGUAUAGAAGAGGCAAGUGGAAUUCCGGGUGUAGCGGUGAAAUGCGUAGAUAUCCGGAGGAACAUCAGUGGCGAAGGCGACUUGCUGGUCUAACACUGACGCUGAGGUGCGAAAGCGUGGGGAGCAAACG